UAGUAACUGCGAGUGAAGCGGGAAGAGCUCAAAUUUUGAAUCUGGCAGUCCCUUGGCUGUCCGAGUUGUAAUCUAGAGAAGUGUUUUCCGUGCUGGACCGUGUAUAAGUCUCCUGGAAGGGAGCGUCGUAGAGGGUGAGAAUCCCGUCUUUGACACGGACUACCAGUGCUAUGUGAUGCGCUCUCGACGAGUCGAGUUGUUUGGGAAUGCAGCUCAAAACGGGUGGUAAACUCCAUCUAAAGCUAAAUACAGGCGAGAGACCGAUAGCGAACAAGUACCGUGAGGGAAAGAUGAAAAGAACUUUGGAAAGAGAGUUAAACAGUACGUGAAAUUGCUGAAAGGGAAACGCUUGAUGUCAGUCGCGUUGGCUGGGGAUCAACCUUGCUUCUCGCUGGGUGUAUUUCCCGGUCGACGGGUCAGCAUCAGUUUCGGUCGCCGUACAAGGGUGAGGGGAACGUGGCACUCCUCGGAGUGUGUUAUAGCCUUUCGUCGUAUGCGGUGGUCGGGACUGAGGAGCUCAGCACGGCUUCUUGCUUGUGCUCAGGAUGCUGGCAUAAUGGCCUUAAGCGACCCGUCUUGAAACACGGACCAAGGAGUCUAACAUGCCUGCGAGUGUUUGGGUGGUAAACCCGAGCGCGUAAUGAAAGUGAAAGUUGAGACCUCUGUCGUGGAGGGCAUCGACGCCCGGACCUGAGUCUUUGACGACGGAUCUGCGGUAGAGCAUGUAUGUUGGGACCCGAAAGAUGGUGAACUAUGCCUGAAUAGGGUGAAGCCAGAGGAAACUCUGGUGGAGGC
rnacentral:rRNA from 1 species